rnacentral:rRNA from 1 species
CACGUAGGGCGCAAGCGUUGUCCGGAAUUAUUGGGCGUAAAGAGCUCGUAGGCGGUCUGCCACGUCCGCUGUGAAAACCUAGGGCUUAACCCUGGGCUUGCAGUAGAUACGGGCAGACUAGAGGUAGGUAGGGGAGAAUGGAAUUCCCGGUGUAGCGGUGAAAUGCGCAGAUAUCGGGAGGAACACCGGUGGCGAAGGCGGGUCUCUGGGCCGAUACUGACGCUGAGGAGCGAAAGCGUGGGGAGCGAACAGG